UAGUAGUAACCAAAUUUAGCCACCUACAACUUGGAUUUUCAUUUUAUCUUACCGUCGUCGCAGUCUGUAUAAUUCUUUUGCAGAAUGUGCUUUUGACAGUAUAAUUGUGUUCUUUCCCGUAAUAUAGAUGAAAAAUUUACAGUAUUGCUUGUCUACAGGAGGAAACAUACUUCUGGCGGAGGACUGUCUUUAAGCAUAUCGGAUUGAAGACGGAAACCCAAUAAAUGCUAUACUGUUGUCUUAGAACUUGUUAUUGAGUAUAUUUCAAUCCAACUUGUACACCUGAAACUCGAAGCUGAUAUUUAAAAAAUAAUAUGUAUAUGGGUGUCAAUAUAGCUUUGGAUACUACAGAGAGAACUAAAACAACGCAUGGGGACAUACGAAGUGUUGCU